AUUGAACGCUGGCGGCAUGCCUUACACAUGCAAGUCGAACGGUAACGGGUCCUUCGGGAUGCCGACGAGUGGCGAACGGGUGAGUAAUAUAACGGAACGUGCCCAGUUGUGGGGGAUAACUGCUCGAAAGAGCAGCUAAUACCGCAUACGACCUGAGGGUGAAAGGGGGGGAUCGCAAGAUCAGUCGCCAUUGGAUCGGCCGAUAUCAGAUUAGCUAGAUGGGGGGGUAAAGGCAUACCAAGGCAGCGAUCUGUAGUUGGUCUGAGAGGACGACCAGCCACACUGGUACUGAGACACGGCCCAGACUCCUACGGUAGGCAGCAGUGGGGAAUUUUGGACAAUGAGCGCAAGCCUGAUCCAGCAAUUCCGCGUGCAGGAAGAAGGCCUUCGAGUUGUAAACUGCUUUUGUCAGGGAAUAAAUCUUCUGGGCUAAUACCCCGGGAGGAUGACGGUACCUGAAGAAUAAGCACCGGCUAACUACGUGCCAGCAGCCGCCGUAA
rnacentral:rRNA from 1 species